rnacentral:rRNA from 1 species
ACGCUGGCGGCAGGCCUAACACAUGCAAGUCGAGCGGUAGCACAGGAGAGCUUGCGUCUCUGGGUGACGAGCGGCGGACGGGUGAGUAAUGUCUGGGAAACUGCCUGAUGGAGGGGGAUAACUACUGGAAACGGUAGCUAAUACCGCAUGACCUCGCAAGAGCAAAGUGGGGGACCUUCGGGCCUCACGCCAUCGGAUGUGCCCAGAUGGGAUUAGCUAGUAGGUGGGGUAAUGGCUCACCUAGGCGACGAUCCCUAGCUGGUCUGAGAGGAUGACCAGCCACACUGGAACUGAGACACGGUCCAGACUCCUACGGGAGGCAGCAGUGGGGAAUAUUGCACAAUGGGCGCAAGCCUGAUGCAGCCAUGCCGCGUGUGUGAAGAAGGCCUUAGGGUUGUAAAGCACUUUCAGCGAGGAGGAAGGCGUUGCAGUUAAUAGCUGCAGCGAUUGACGUUACUCGCAGAAGAAGCACCGGGCUAACUCCGUGCCAGCAGCCCGCGUAAUACGGAGGGUGCAGGCGUUAAUCGGAAUUACUGGGGCGUAAAGCGCACGCAGGCGGUUUGUUAAGUCAGAUGUGAAAUCCCCGAGCUUAACUUGGGAACUGCUUU